GAGGGCAUAGCUCAAGUGGUGGAGUGUAUGCUUAACAUGCAUAAGGUCCUGGGUUCAAGUCCCAGUACCUCCA
rnacentral:tRNA from 1 species